rnacentral:rRNA from 1 species
UGGGGAAUAUUGCACAAUGGGCGCAAGCCUGAUGCAGCCAUGCCGCGUGUAUGAUGAAGGCCUUCGGGUUGUAAAGUACUUUCAGCGGGGAGGAAGGUGUUGAGGUUAAUAACCUCAGCAAUUGACGUUACCCGCAGAAGAAGCACCGGCUAACUCCGUGCCAGCAGCCGCGGUAAUACGGAGGGUGCAAGCGUUAAUCGGAAUUACUGGGCGUAAAGCGCACGCAGGCGGUCUGUCAAGUCGGAUGUGAAAUCCCCGGGCUCAACCUGGGAACUGCAUUCGAAACUGGCAGGCUAGAGUCUUGUAGAGGGGGGUAGAAUUCCAGGUGUAGCGGUGAAAUGCGUAGAGAUCUGGAGGAAUACCGGUGGCGAAGGCGGCCCCCUGGACAAAGACUGACGCUCAGGUGCGAAAGCGUGGGGAGCAAACA